AAAUUGAAGAGUUUGAUCAUGGCUCAGAUUGAACGCUGGCGGCAGGCCUAACACAUGCAAGUCGAACGGUAACAGGAAGCAGCUUGCUGCUUCGCUGACGAGUGGCGGACGGGUGAGUAAUGUCUGGGAAACUGCCUGAUGGAGGGGGAUAACUACUGGAAACGGUAGCUAAUACCGCAUAACGUCGCAAGACCAAAGAGGGGGACCUUCGGGCCUCUUGCCAUCAGAUGUGCCCAGAUGGGAUUAGCUAGUAGGUGGGGUAACGGCUCACCUAGGCGACGAUCCCUAGCUGGUCUGAGAGGAUGACCAGCCACACUGGAACUGAGACACGGUCC
rnacentral:rRNA from 1 species